rnacentral:tRNA from 1 species
GCCCCAGUGGCUUAGUCUGGUAUAGCACGGCCUUGGUAAGGCCGGGGUCGAGGGUUCAAAUCCCUCCUGGGGCU